rnacentral:lncRNA from 1 species
UUUUGGACAGGUUCUAUUUCUUAUCUGGCCACAAACUUAACAGGCAGAAGACCCAAUUGUUUUUCUCUAACAAUGUGACAGAAGAAGUAGCUGCAAACCUAUGUGGCAAUUUAGGGUUAUCUAGAGUUAAUGACUUAGGGAAAUAUAUUGGCAUGCAGUUCUUUCAUCACAGGGUUGGGAGUAACACCUUCCAAUUUAUUUUGGAUAAGGUGCGGAACCGUUUAAAUGGAUGGGAUGCUCGUAAGUUAUCAUUUGCUAGAAGACUCACCUUGGUGAAGUCUGUAUUAUUUUCAAUUCCCAAUUAUUUCAUGACCAUAACCCGAAUUCCAGUUACGAUAUGC